rnacentral:rRNA from 1 species
AUUGAACGCUGGCGGCAGGCCUAACACAUGCAAGUCGAACGAGUGGCGGACGGGUGAGUAAUGUCUGGGAAACUGCCCGAUGGAGGGGGAUAACUACUGGAAACGGUAGCUAAUACCGCAUACCAUCGGAUGUGCCCAGAUGGGAUUAGCUAGGAGGUGGGGUAAAGGCUCACCUAGGCGACGAUCCCUAGCUGGUCUGAGAGGAUGACCAGCCACACUGGAAUUGAGACACGGUCCAGACUCCGACGGGAGGCAGCAGUGGGGAAUAUUGCACAAUGGGCGCAAGCCUGAUGCAGCCAUGCCGCGUGUAUGAAGAAGGCCUGCGGGUUGUAAAGUACUUUCAGCGAGGAGGCGUUACUCGCAGAAGAAGCACCGGCUAACUCCGUGCCAGCAGCGGCGGUAAUAC